rnacentral:rRNA from 3 species
UGAAAUCUGGUCCUUGCGGCCCGAGUUGUAAUUUGCAGAGGAUGCUUUUGGCGCGGUGCCUUCCAAGUUCCCUGGAACGGGACGCCUUAGAGGGUGAGAGCCCCGUACGGUUGGACACCAAGCCUUUGUAAAGCUCCUUCGACGAGUCGAGUAGUUUGGGAAUGCUGCUCUAAAUGGGAGGUAUAUUUCUUCUAAAGCUAAAUACCGGCCAGAGACCGAUAGCGCACAAGUAGAGUGAUCGAAAGAUGAAAAGCACUUUGAAAAGAGGGUUAAACAGCACGUGAAAUUGUUAAAAGGGAAGCGCUUGUGACCAGACUUGCGCCCGGUGAAUCACCCAGCUCUCGCGGCUGGGGCACUUUGCCGGCUCAGGCCAGCAUCAGCUUGCCGUCGGGGACAAAAGCUUCGGGAACGUAGCUCUCUUCGGGGAGUGUUAUAGCCCGUUGCACAAUACCCUUCGGCGGGCUGAGGUACGCGCUCC